rnacentral:rRNA from 1 species
UACGGAGGGGGCUAGCGUUGUUCGGAAUUACUGGGCGUAAAGCGCGCGUAGGCGGCUUUGUAAGUUAGAGGUGAAAGCCCGGAGCUCAACUCCGGAACUGCCUUUAAGACUGCAUCGCUAGAAUUGUGGAGAGGUAAGUGGAAUUCCGAGUGUAGAGGUGAAAUUCGUAGAUAUUCGGAAGAACACCAGUGGCGAAGGCGACUUACUGGACACGUAUUGACGCUGAGGUGCGAAAGCGUGGGGAGCAAACAGGG